CAGGAUGAACGCUGGCGGCGAGCUUAACACAUGCAAGUCGAACGGACUCAUAUUGAAACCUAGUGAUUUAUGAGUUAGUGGCGGACGGGUGAGUAACGCGUGGAUAACCUGCCGUAUACCGGGGGAUAACACUUAGAAAUAGGUGCUAAUACCGCAUAAGCGCACGGCUCCGCAUGGGGCAGUGUGAAAAACUCCGGUGGUAUACGAUGGAUCCGCGUCUGAUUAGCCAGUUGGCGGGGUAACGGCCCACCAAAGCGACGAUCAGUAGCCGGCCUGAGAGGGUGAACGGCCACAUUGGGACUGAGACACGGCCCAGACUCCUACGGGAGGCAGCAGUGGGGAAUAUUGCACAAUGGGGGAAACCCUGAUGCAGCGACGCCGCGUGAGUGAAGAAGUAUCUCGGUAUGUAAAGCUCUAUCAGCAGGAAAGAUAAUGACGGUACCUGACUAAGAAGCCCCGGCUAACUACGUGCCAGCAGCCGCGGUAAUACGUAGGGAGCAAGCGUUGUCCGGAUUUACUGGGUGUAAAGGGUGCGUAGGCGGGCUUGCAAGUCAGAAGUGAAAUCUAUGGGCUUAACCCAUAAACUGCUUUUGAAACU
rnacentral:rRNA from 1 species